AACGCGAAGAACCUUACCAAGGCUUGACAUAUACAGGAAAAGCGUAGAAAUACGCUCCCCGCAAGGUCUGUAUACAGGUGGUGCAUGGUUGUCGUCAGCUCGUGUCGUGAGAUGUUGGGUUAAGUCCCGCAACGAGCGCAACCCUCGUCCUAUGUUGCCAGCACGCAAUGGUGGGAACUCAUGGGAGACUGCCGGGGUCGACUCGGAGGAAGGUGGGGAUGACGUCAAAUCAUCAUGCCCCUUAUGUCUUGGGCUUCACGCAUGCUACAAUGGCCGAUACAGAGGGCUGCAAUACCGCAAGGUGGAGCGAAUCCCACAAAGUCGGUCUCAGUUCGGAUUGAGGUCUGCAACUCGACCUCAUGAAGUCGGAGUCGCUAGUAAUCGCAGAUCAGCAACGCUGCGGUGAAUACGUUCCCGGGUCUUGUACACACCGAAU
rnacentral:rRNA from 1 species